AGGUUAAGUUAACAAGGGCGCAUGGUGAAUGCCUUGGCACUAGGAGCCGAUGAAGGACGGGACUAACACCGAUAUGCUUCGGGGAGCUGUACGUAAGCUAUGAUCCGGAGAUUUCCGAAUGGGGCAACCCAGCAGUUUUAAUCAACUGUUACCACUAGAUGAAUUCAUAGUCUAGUUGGAGGUAAACGCUGUGAACUGAAACAUCUCAUUAGCAGCAGGAAUAUAAAGAAAUUUCGAUUCCCUAAGUAGCGGCGAGCGAACGGGGAACAGCCCAAACCAAAGUGCUUGCACUUUGGGGUUGUAGGACUGAACAUUUGAGUUACCAAAGAACUUGAUAGUCGAAGGAUUUGGGAAAAUCCGCCAUAGAUGGUGAUAGCCCAGUAGAUUAAAUCAAAUUCUCUCAGUUCAGGAUCCUGAGUACGGCGGAACACGUGAAAUUCCGUCGGAAUCCGGGAGGACCAUCUCCCAAGGCUAAAUACUACCUAGUGACCGAUAGUGAACCAGUACCGUGAGGGAAAGGUGAAAAGCACCCCGGGAGGGGAGUGAAAUAGUUCCUGAAACCAUGUGCCUACAAUAAGUCAGAGCGCGUUAAUGCGUGAUGGCGUGCCUUUUGUAGAAUGAACCGGCGAGUUAUGAUCCCGUGCAAGGUUAAGACUAAAAAGUCGGAGCCGUAGCGAAAGCGAGUCUGAAAUGGGCGAUUUGAGUACGAGGUUAUAGACCCGAAACCAGGUGACCUAUCCAUGUCCAGGUUGAAGGUGCGGUAAAACGCACUGGAGGACCGAACCCGUGUAAGUUGAAAAUUGCUGGGAUGAGGUGUGGAUAGCGGUGAAAUUCCAAACGAACUUGGAGAUAGCUGGUUCUCUCCGAAAUAGCUUUAGGGCUAGCCUCGGAUUAAGGAUCAUGGAGGUAGAGCACUAUUUGGACUAGGGGCCCGUCUUGGGUUACUGAAUUCAGAUAAACUCCGAAUGCCAUUGAUUCAUGUCCGGGAGUCAGACGAUGAGUGAUAAGAUCCACCGUCGAAAGGGGAACAGCCCAGACCAUCAGUUAAGGUCCCUAAAUGUAUGCUAAGUGGAAAAGGAUGUGGAGUUGCAUAGACAACUAGGAUGUUGGCUCAGAAGCAGCCACCAUUUAAAGAGUGCGUAAUAGCUCACUAGUCGAGUGAUCCUGCGCCGAAAAUGUACCGGGGCUAAGCAUACUACCGAAACCAUGGAUGCGACCAUUAGGUCGCGUGAUAGGAGAGCGUUCUAAGGGCGGUGAAGCAAGAUCGUGAGGACUUGUGGAGCGCUUAGAAGUGAGAAUGCCGGUAUGAGUAGCGAAAGAUAGGUGAGAAUCCUAUCCACCGAAUGACUAAGGUUUCCUGGGGAAGGCUCGUCCUCCCAGGGUUAGUCGGGACCUAAGUCGAGGCCGAGAGGCGUAGACGAUGGAUAACAGGUUGAGAUUCCUGUACUAGUUAAGUGCGUUUGAGCAAUGGAGGGACGCAGGAGGCUAAGAUGUGCAUUCUGUUGGAUUAGAAUGUCCAAGCAGUAAGUCUUGUGGAGAGUCAAAUGCUUUUCACUUUAAGGACAAGCUGUGAUGGGGAGCGAAAUUUAGUAGCGAAGCGUCUGAUGUCACACUGCCGAGAAAAGCUUCUAGUGAGUACUUAACUACCCGUACCGCAAACCGACACAGGUAGUCGAGGAGAGAAUCCUAAGGUGAGCGAGUGAACUCUCGUUAAGGAACUCGGCAAAAUGACCCCGUAACUUCGGGAGAAGGGGUGCUGAUCGCAAGAUCAGCCGCAGUGAAUAGGCCCAGGCGACUGUUUAUCAAAAACACAGGUCUCUGCAAAAUCGUAAGAUGACGUAUAGGGGCUGACGCCUGCCCGGUGCUGGAAGGUUAAAAGGAUGGGUUAGCUUCGGCGAAGCUCAGAAUUGAAGCCCCAGUAAACGGCGGCCGUAACUAUAACGGUCCUAAGAUAGCGAAAUUCCUUGUCGGGUAAGUUCCGACCCGCACGAAAGGCGUAACGAUCUGGGCACUGUCUCAACGAGAGACUCGGUGAAAUUAUAUUGUCCGUGAAGAUGCGGACUACCCGCGACAGGACGGAAAGACCCCAUGGAGCUUUACUGUAGCUUGAUAUUGAGUGUUUGUACAGCUUGUACAGGAUAGGUAGGAGCCAUAGAAACCGGAACGCUAGUUUCGGUGGAGGCGUUGGUGGGAUACUACCCUCGCUGUAUGACCACUCUAACCCGCACCACUAAUCGUGGUGGGAGACAGUGUCAGGUGGGCAGUUUGACUGGGGCGGUCGCCUCCUAAAAAGUAACGGAGGCGCCCAAAGGUUCCCUCAGAAUGGUUGGAAAUCAUUCGCAGAGUGUAAAGGCACAAGGGAGCUUGACUGCGAGACAGACAGGUCGAGCAGGGACGAAAGUCGGGCUUAGUGAUCCGGUGGUACCGUAUGGAAGGGCCAUCGCUCAACGGAUAAAAGCUACCCUGGGGAUAACAGGCUUAUCUCCCCCAAGAGUCCACAUCGACGGGGAGGUUUGGCACCUCGAUGUCGGCUCAUCGCAUCCUGGGGCUGUAGUCGGUCCCAAGGGUUGGGCUGUUCGCCCAUUAAAGCGGUACGCGAGCUGGGUUCAGAACGUCGUGAGACAGUUCGGUCCCUAUCCGUCGCGGGCGUAGGAAAUUUGAGAGGACCUGUCCUUAGUACGAGAGGACCGGGAUGGACAUACCUCUGGUGUACCAGUUGUGCCGCCAGGCGCAUCGCUGGGUAGCUACGUAUGGAUGUGAUAAACGCUGAAAGCAUCUAAGUGUGAAACACACCUCGAGAUGAGAUUUCCCAUUCCUUUAUGGAAGUAAGACCCCUGAAAGAUGAUCAGGUAGAUAGGUUAGAAGUGGCAGUGCGGUGACGCAUGAAGCGGACUAAUACUAAUCGGUCGAGGACUUAACCAAG
rnacentral:rRNA from 2 species